ACGGAAGGCAGCAGUGGGGAAUAUUGCACAAUGGGGGAAACCCUGAUGCAGCGACGCCGCGUGAGUGAAGAAGUAUUUCGGUAUGUAAAGCUCUAUCAGCAGGAAAGAAAAUGACGGUACCUGACUAAGAAGCCCCGGCUAACUACGUGCCAGCAGCCGCGGUAAUACGUAGGGGGCAAGCGUUAUCCGGAUUUACUGGGUGUAAAGGGAGCGUAGACGGCUUUGCAAGUCUGAAGUGAAAGCCCGGAGCUCAACCCCGGAACUGCUUUGGAAACUGUAGAGCUAGAGUGCAGGAGAGGUAAGUGGAAUUCCUAGUGUAGCGGUGAAAUGCGUAGAUAUUAGGAGGAACACCAGUGGCGAAGGCGGCUUACUGGACUGUAACUGACGUUGAGGCUCGAAGGCGUGGGGAGCAAACAGGAUUAGAUACCCUGGUA
rnacentral:rRNA from 1 species